rnacentral:rRNA from 1 species
GAUGAACGCUAGCGGCAGGCUUAACACAUGCAAGUCGAGGGGUAUAGUUCUUCGGAGCUAGAGACCGGCGCACGGGUGCGUAACGCGUAUGCAAUCUACCUUUUGCAGAGGGAUAGCCCAGAGAAAUUUGGAUUAAUACCUCAUGGUAUGUGAGAAUGGCAUCAUUUUCACAUUAAAGUCACAACGGCCAAAGAUGAGAAUGCGUCCCAUUAGCUAGUUGGUAAGGUAACGGCUCACCAAGGCAACGAUGGGUAGGGGUACUGAGAGGGAGAUCCCCCACACUGGUACUGAGACACGGACCAGACUCCUACGGGAGGCAGCAGUGAGGAAUAUUGGACAAUGGGCGCAAGCCUGAUCCAGCCAUGCCGCGUGCAGGAUGACGGUCCUAUGGAUUGUAAACUGCUUUUGUACAGGAAGAAACACUGGUUCGUGAACCAGCUUGACGGUACUGUAAGAAUAAGGAUCGGCUAACUCCGUGCCAGCCGCCGCCGUAAAAC